rnacentral:rRNA from 1 species
AGGUAAGCUACUAAGAGCGAAUGGUGGAUGCCUUGACUGGUAAAGGCGAUGAAGGACGUACUAGACUGCGAUAAGCUACGGGGAGCUGUCAAGAAGCUUUGAUCCGUAGAUUUCCGAAUGGGGCAACCCAAUGUAUAGAGAUAUGCAUUACCUAUAUAGGAGCGAACGAGGGGAAUUGAAACAUCUUAGUACCCUCAGGAAAAGAAAUCAAUAGAGAUUGCGUCAGUAGCGGCGAGCGAAAGCGCAAGAGGGCAAACCCAGUGCUUGCACUGGGGGUUGUAGGACUGCAAUGUGCAAGAGGUAAGUUUAGCAGAACAUUCUGGAAAGUAUAACCAUAGAGGGUGAUAGUCCCGUAUGCGAAAAACAAACCUUAGCUAGCAGUAUCCUGAGUAGGGCGGGACACGAGGAAUCCUGUCUGAAUCCGGGUCGACCACGAUCCAACCCUAAAUACUAAUACCAGAUCGAUAGUGCACAAGUACCGUGAGGGAAAGGUGAAAAGAACUGAGGUGAUCAGAGUGAAAUAGAACCUGAAACCAUUUGCUUACAAUCAUUCAGAGCCCUAUGUAGCAAUACAGGGUGAUGGACUGCCUUUUGCAUAAUGAGCCUGCGAGUUGUGGUGUCUGGCAAGGUUAAGCAAACGCGAAGCCGUAGCGAAAGCGAGUCUGAAUAGGGCGCUUAGUCAGAUGCUGCAGACCCGAAACGAAGUGAUCUAUCCAUGAGCAAGUUGAAGCUAGUGUAAGAACUAGUGGAGGACUGAACCCAUAGGCGUUGAAAAGCCCCGGGAUGACUUGUGGAUAGGGGUGAAAGGCCAAUCAAACUUCGUGAUAGCUGGUUCUCUCCGAAAUAUAUUUAGGUAUAGCGUUGUGUCGUAAUAUAAGGGGGUAGAGCACUGAAUGGGCUAGGGCAUACACCAAUGUACCAAACCCUAUCAAACUCCGAAUACCUUAUAUGUAAUCACAGCAGUCAGGCGGCGAGUGAUAAAAUCCGUCGUCAAGAGGGAAACAACCCAGACUACCAGCUAAGGUCCCUAAAUCUUACUUAAGUGGAAAACGAUGUGAAGUUACUUAAACAACCAGGAGGUUGGCUUAGAAGCAGCCAUCCUUUAAAGAAAGCGUAAUAGCUCACUGGUCUAGUGAUUUUGCGCGGAAAAUAUAACGGGGCUAAAGUAAGUACCGAAGCUGUAGACUUAGUUUACUAAGUGGUAGGAGAGCGUUCUAUUUGCGUCGAAGGUAUACCGGUAAGGAGUGCUGGAGCGAAUAGAAGUGAGCAUGCAGGCAUGAGUAGCGAUAAUUAAUGUGAGAAUCAUUAACGCCGUAAACCCAAGGUUUCCUACGCGAUGCUCGUCAUCGUAGGGUUAGUCGGGUCCUAAGUCGAGUCCGAAAGGGGUAGACGAUGGCAAAUUGGUUAAUAUUCCAAUACCAACAUUAGUGUGCGAUGGAAGGACGCUUAGGGCUAAGGGGGCUAGCGGAUGGAAGUGCUAGUCUAAGGUCGUAGGAGGUUGUA